rnacentral:rRNA from 1 species
UCAAGUUAUUAAGGGUGCAGGGCGGAUGCCUUGGCACUAGGAGCCGAUGAAGGACGUGAUAAGCUGCGAUAAGCUUCGGGGAGUUGCACGUAAACUUUGAUCCGAAGAUUUCCGAAUGAGGAAACUCACUUAGAGUAAUGUCUAAGUAUCAUUAAGUGAAUACAUAGCUUAAUGAGGGGAACUCAGGGAACUGAAACAUCUAAGUACCUGAAGGAAGAGAAAGAAAUUCGAUUCCGUAAGUAGCGGCGAGCGAACGCGGAUUAGCCCAAACCAAUAAAGUUUUCUUUAUUGGGGUUGCGGACAUAUCAUAACGAAGAGGUAUCGUAAUUGAAGAGGUUUGGAAAGACCCACCACAGAAGGUAAUAGUCCUGUAUGUUAAACGAGAAGACUUCAGAUAUGAUCCAGAGUACCACGGGACACGUGAAACCCUGUGGGAAGCAGGAGGGACCACCCUCCAAGGCUAAAUACUACCUAGUGACCGAUAGCGUAUAGUACCGUGAGGGAAAGGUGAAAAGAACCCCGGGAGGGGAGUGAAAUAGAACCUGAAACCCUGCACUUACAAGCUGUGGAAGCACAUUUCUUGUGUGACCGCGUACUUUUUGUAGAACGGGCCAACGAGUUACGUUAAGUAGCAAGGUUAAGCACUUAAGGUGUGGAGCCGUAGCGAAAGCGAGUUUUAACUGAGCGUUCAGUUACUUGACGUAGACCCGAAACCGGGCGACCUACCCAUGAGCAGGAUGAAGCGAAAGUAAAAUUUCGUGGAGGUCCGAACCCACGAGCGUUGAAAAGCUCGGGGAUGACUUUGUGGGUAGCGGUGAAAUUCCAAUCGAGCCCGGAGAUAGCUGGUUCUCCCCGAAAUAGCUUUAGGGCUAGCCUCAAGGUGAGAGAUACGGAGGUAGAGCACUGAAUGUCCUAGGGGGUAUUGCACCUACCGAAGACUAUCAAACUCCGAAUGCCGUCAUCUUAUACUUGGGAGUCAGACUGUGGGUGAUAAGAUUCAUAGUCGAAAGGGCAACAGCCCAGAUCGUCAGCUAAGGUCCCUAAAUGUAAGUUAAGUGGUAAAGGAUGUGGGAUUGCACAGACAACCAGGAUGUUGGCUUAGAAGCAGCCACUCAUUCAAAGAGUGCGUAAUAGCUCACUGGUCGAGUGAUCCUGCGCCGAAGAUUUCCGGGGCUAAAACUUACUACCGAAGCUACGGCAUCAGUAAUGAUGGGUAGGGGAGCUUCCCAUACGGGUUGAAGCAUGACCGUAAGGACAUGUGGACAGUAUGGGAGUGAGAAUGUUGGCAUGAGUAGCGAGAUGUGGGUGAGAAUCCCACAGGCCGUAAACCCAAGGUUUCCAGGGGAAGGUUCGUCCGCCCUGGGUUAGUCGGGACCUAAGCUGAGGCCGAAAGGCGUAGGUGAUGGACAACAGGUUGAUAUUCCUGUACUACCGAUAACCGUUUGAGAGAAGGGAUGACACAGUAGGAUAAGCUAAGCACACUGUUGGUUAUGUGUGCCCAAGCAUUGAGGCAGUCAAAGUAGGCAAAUCCGCUUUGAUAAUGCUGGGAUGUGAUGGGGAGCGAAAUUUAGUAGCGAAGUAGCUGAUUUCACACUGUCAAGAAAAGUCUCUAUCGAGGUUAAAGGUACCCGUACCGCAAACCGACACAGGUGGGUGAGGAGAGUAUCCUAAGGCCAGCGAGAGAACUGUUGUUAAGGAACUCGGCAAAAUGACCCCGUAACUUAGGGAUAAGGGGUGCCACCAUCAGGUGGCCGCAGAGAAUAGGCCCAAGCGACUGUUUACCAAAAACAUAGGUUUCUGCUAAGUCGCAAGACGAUGUAUAGGAGCUGACGCCUGCCCGGUGCUGGAAGGUUAAGGGGAUCUGUUAGAGCAAUCGAAGCAGUGAACUUAAGCCCCAGUAAACGGCGGCCGUAACUAUAACGGUCCUAAGGUAGCGAAAUUCCUUGUCGGGUAAGUUCCGACCCGCACGAAAGGCGUAACGAUUUGGGCACUGUCUCAACAACAGACUCGGUGAAAUUGUAAUUCCGGUGAAGAUGCCGGAUACCUGCGACAGGACGGAAAGACCCCAUGGAGCUUUACUGUAGCUUGACAUUGGGUCUUGGUACUACAUGUACAGGAUAGGUGGGAGGCUUUGAAACCAGGACGCCAGUUUUGGCGGAGCCAUCCUUGGGAUACCACCCUUGUAGUACUGGGACUCUAACCAUAGGCCAUGAAUCUGGUCUUGGGACACUGUCAGGUGGGCAGUUUGACUGGGGCGGUCGCCUCCCAAAAGGUAACGGAGGCGCUCAAAGGUUCUCUCAGUACGGUCGGAAAUCGUACGUAGAGUGUAAAGGCAAAAGAGAGCUUGAUUGCAAGACAUACAGGUCGAGCAAGGAUGAAAAUCGGACUUAGUGAUCCGGUGGUUCUGCGUGGAAGGGCCAUCGCUCAACGGAUAAAAGCUACCCUGGGGAUAACAGGCUUAUCUCCCCCAAGAGUCCACAUCGACGGGGAGGUUUGGCACCUCGAUGUCGGCUCAUCACAUCCUGGGGCUGUAGUAGGUCCCAAGGGUUGGGCUGUUCGCCCAUUAAAGUGGUACGCGAGCUGGGUUCAGAACGUCGUGAGACAGUUCGGUCCCUAUCCGUCGCAGGCGUAGGAAAUUUGAGAAGACCUGUCCUUAGUACGAGAGGACCGGGAUGGACGUACCUCUGGUGUACCAGUUGUUCUGCCAAGGGCAUGGCUGGGUAGCUAUGUACGGAAUGGAUAAGCGCUGAAAGCAUCUAAGCGCGAAGCCAACUUCAAGAUAAGAUUUCCCACCGCAAGGGUAAGACCCCAGAAAGACUAUCUGGUUGAUAGGUCGAAGGUGUAAGUGCAGCAAUGUAUUUAGCUUAUCGAUACUAAUAGGUCGAGGACUUGACCAA